GCGAAGCAUCUGCCAAGGAUGUUUUCAUUAAUCAAGAACGAAAGUUAGGGGAUCGAAGACGAUCAGAUACCGUCGUAGUCUUAACCAUAAACGAUGCCGACCAGCGAUUAGGAGACGUUGAAUACAAAACACCACCAUCGGCGCGGUCGUCCUUGGCGUGUCUCGGCUUCACGGCCGGGGCGCGCGAGGGCGGUUUAGCCCGGUGGCACCGGUGAAUGACUCCCCU
rnacentral:rRNA from 1 species